rnacentral:rRNA from 1 species
AUUGAACGCUGGCGGCAGGCCUAACACAUGCAAGUCGAGCGGAGGGGCGGACGGGGGAGUAAUGCCUAGGAAUCUGCAUGUGAGUGGGGGAUGACGUCCGGAAACGGGAGCUGAUGCCACCUACUAUCAGCAGAGGCUGGGGCGGAUUAGCUAGUUGGUGGGGUAAAGGCCUACCAAGGCGACGAUCCGGAACUGGUCUGAGAGGAUGACCAGUCACACUGGAACUGAGACACGGUCCAGACUCCUACGGGAGGCAGCAGUGGGGAAUAUUGGACAAUGGGCGAAAGCCUGAUGCAGCCAUGCCGCGUGUGUGAAGAAGGUCUUCGGAUUGUAAAGCACUUUAAGCUGGGAGGCGUUACCCACAGAAUAAGCACCGGCUAACUCCGUGCCAGCAGCCGCGGUAAUUC